rnacentral:rRNA from 1 species
GAUGAACGCUGGCGGCGUGCUUAACACAUGCAAGUCGAACGAAGCACUUUGAAGUUUUCGGACAGAUGAGUGACUGAGUGGCGGACGGGUGAGUAACGCGUGGGUAACCUGCCUCAUACAGGGGGAUAACAGUUAGAAAUGACUGCUAAUACCGCAUAAGCGCACAGUAUCGCAUGAUACAGUGUGAAAAACUCCGGUGGUAUGAGAUGGACCCGCGUCUGAUUAGCUAGUUGGUGGGGUAAUGGCCUACCAAGGCGACGAUCAGUAGCCGGCCUGGGAGGGUGAACGGCCACAUUGGGACUGAGACACGGCCCGAACUCCUACGGGAGGCAGCAGUGGGGAAUAUUGCACAAUGGGGGAAACCCUGAUGCAGCGACGCCGCGUGAGUGAAGAAGUAUUUCGGUAUGUAAAGCUCUAUCAGCAGGGAAGAAAAUGACGGUACCUGACUAAGAAGCUCCGGCUAAAUACGUGCCAGCCGCCGCAGUAAUAC